AUUUAAUAACAUUAUAAAAAUUUUUUAAAACCGCAAAAAAGGUUUAUUUAAAAAAUAAAGAAAAUUAAUUUAAUUGGGAUACAGACUAAAAAAAUUGUCAUAACUGGUCUCGAACACAACUCGCACGGAUAGCAAUAAAACGGUAAGCGCGCACCUAGCACCCACGGCCACUGCGCUUCAUGCUGUAAAGUGGCUUUUUAUUAUACUUACCUUACUAAGCGAAAAUUUACAUAUUUAAAUGCAAUUUUUUCAGAAACUAAGGCCCAUUCACUCAAAAGCCAAUACACGGUUUUCGCUUUUCACCUCUUCUUUCAAAUGUACUAUAGCUCAUUCGAAAGUACAGUUAGCAGAUGUUGGCACCUCUUUGUUAGACACAUUACCGCAAUUAUAGCCUUAAAGGGUUAUGUGCAAUCAGUAAUCUUAAAAAUGUCGAUUUUCUUAACAAGUUUUUUUUUAAGUGAAACAUCUUAAAAUUGUUCUCUCAAAAUUUUAAAUUGAUCUGAAGAAAAUUUGCAAAGAUACAGACUUAAGAGUCUCCACCUAUUCCCCCUUCCGCGCGCCCGUAUCCAGCAGAAAGACUACAGCAGCUGCUGAAAAAGCCAUGAAACGUAUUUAUUUUGAUUUCUAAAGACGUUUUAUCAGAGAAAUGUGUCGGUAGAUUUAAUUAAAACAACAACGAGAGUUAUAAUCAGCUUAUAUAGAAGAUCAGCUCAAAAAUGGUGGCACAUGUUUAGUGAAAACUGUUGCAUUCAUCGCCGCCUGUAUUUUUUAAUGAAGAAAUAUCAUCUUUACUAUUGAUUUUGAGUGGUAUGGGAAUGACUUUCGGCCGAAAUGCUCACGAUUAUGCUAGGAAAGAAGAUGAGUCACGCAUAAGCCUAGCCGAGAAGAAAGUGCAGCAAUGCACUCGUGAGGCAAGAACUUUCCGUACACAACAGUAAAUCAAUGUCUUGGACAUUGCAACUACAGCUGAAGAUUUACUUUAUGGCGCUGGAAUAGAUGACUCAGUAUAAGACUAGGAGGAGCUAGAGUAGUCACUGCAAGACAACUUUUUUUUCACUUUUCUUUACAGAGCUGAGCUGUAACUUUAUGAAUAUUUAUUCUUUUUCAACAAAAAAAUUAGGAAGUAUUAUUUAAGAUUACUUUUUUAGGAGCAAAAACAUUUGUAAUAGUAAACCAAUUCGGUUUUCUCCCAAAAAUUCCCCAAAAAUCGCUUUUUUCGGUUUCCUGACCGAGUGAGUCUCAGAUACGUACAGUAAUAAACGGACACAGCAGGCUGAGUGAAACGAACACAGUAACAAACGGACACAGUGCGAAACGGACACAGACCAAAUGGAUACAGUGCGAAACGGACACAGACCAAACGGACAUAGUGCGAAACGAACACAGUUACAAACCCAUGUGGUGCAGAAUGCUUUGCGCGCGCGCGCAACACACACACGUACGCAUGCAUACACACACGGGAGGUGCAAGGGGACCUUUGUCCCCCCCCCCUCCCGCACCUAUCCCUUUUGUAGGGGUGCUCUGAAAAGUCACAACCCAUGUGGUAAGUCCGUUUGUUACUGUGUCCAUUUGGUCUGUGCGCAUUUGGUCUGUGCAUUUGGUCUGUGUCCAUUUCGCACUGUGUCCGUUUGUUACUGUGUUUGUUUCGCACUGUGUCCAUUUGUUACUGUGUCUGUUUCACUCAACUUGCUGUGUCCGUUUAUUACUGUGCGCAUCUGGGACGCUCCCUCCUGACCACACAUAACUUCUUAAUUCUGACCAGAUCAAUUUCUUUCAUUCUUUAGUGCUUUUUCUAUCUCUUCCUUACUUUAUUCUUUUUUAUCCUUCUUUAUCUUCUUAGUUUUAUUUAUUUGUCUACUACAAUACUUAUUACUCAUGUUUUUAACACCAAAGACCAAAGACGUUUGUGUCUCUAAAAUCUGGUUUUUCUUUCCACCUGAGUACAUGUUUUAAAUACAGCAUUAGCAAGUAAUGUGAGCUGGGGCAAGUGCAUAUUUAUUUAAAAUUUAGUUUCCGAAAAUUUAAAGUUUCUGUUAACCCUCUUCCCACAAGUUUGAAAAUUUUUAUGCAACAUUGAAACUUUGGCAAUAUGACAUUUAAAUUGUACUUUAUAGAGGCAUAAGGUUAUUUAAAAAAAGAAUUAAGAGAAAAAGAUCACACUUAAGAAAAUUUUGUUUUGAUGGCGCACUUACCCUGGUUUUGUGACUCCGGCUAUUACUGCCACCAUGCAGUGAAAA